CCAUAUUGCAGGCGUCAAGUUUCAGGGUUUCUAGGUGUUAAAAUCCGAGGACCGUCUUCAGGGACCCUGGCCGGCGCUCCUAGACGGUCUUGCCAGCCCUCUGGCCCCGUCGCCCUGGACCUGGCGAGACUGUCCGCGCGCCCCGGCGCCAUUUCCUAUCAGUUGCCUUUCAGCGCUGUCGCCGGCGGCCAUGAUGGAGGCGCCUGGUCCGUUCUUAGGGGAGUUGGUCAGGCGCCGAGGUCCCAGCUGAAUUAGAUCGCUAUCCGUACGCUUUGUUCACAGUGAAAUGCAUUUUGUGAACAGAAUAUUUACACUGUUCUCGGUUGGGCACGGUUGACUAACAAAGAGCUGAAAUGUGGGUGGAGCCCCUCUUAAGGUAGACGCUGAGGCCCCUGGGCCGACUUUAAAUGGCGCUGCCUCGGGAGACCUGUUACUGGCUCUUCGCGCUCUCCCCAGAGGAAGAGAUUUAGUUUAAAAGCGGUGGUCUUCAGACGCUGAAAAGUUUCAAAGUCUCACAAGCUUGGCCAGACGGAGUCACAGGAUUGUCAGCUGUUAGGGCCCUUGCGGAGUAGCUUGUUGAACGAUUCUUAUUUCUACAGACAGGUUUUGAUGAACUUCAGACUCCAGGUGGAUGGUGUUCUUCUAACCUCUUGGUUCUGGAAUCUGAUCCUGGUUUGAAACUGAGCAAGACCCUGUACGGUUCCCAGGAACUAAGGCCCCCACCCAGGUGGAGAAUGGCAACUUCAAGCUGAGCACAAAAUUCCUGGAACAUCAUCCUGCUACCUCCUCACCAGUCAGAAGAAAGUCACCCACCCUGCAGUCCUCACCCCAAAUUUUGCCUAAAAACUUCUCCCCCAAAACCACCAGGGAGUUUGAAGUUUU